AACGAACGCUGGCGGCAUGCCUAACACAUGCAAGUCGAACGAGACCUUCGGGUCUAGUGGCGCACGGGUGCGUAACGCGUGGGAACCUGCCCUUAGGUUCGGAAUAACUCCCCGAAAGGGGUGCUAAUACCGGAUAAUGUCUUCGGACCAAAGAUUUAUCGCCUUUGGAUGGGCCCGCGUUGGAUUAGCUAGUUGGUAGGGUAAAAGCCUACCAAGGCGACGAUCCAUAUCUGGUCUGAGAGGAUGAUCAGCCACACAGGGACUGAGACACGGCCCAGACUCCUACGGGAGGCAGCAGUGGGGAAUAGUGGACAAUGGGCGAAAGCCUGAGCCAGCAAUGCCGCGUGAGCGAUGAAGGCCUUAGGGUUGUAAAGCUCUUUUACCCGGGAUGAUAAUGACAGUACCGGUAGAAUAAGCUCCGGCUAACUCCGUG
rnacentral:rRNA from 1 species